UGCGCGGGGUGCAGCAGGCUUAGGUCUCUGACCCGGUGGAAGUUGACUUUUAAGAUCUUGGUUGUGUGCAGCGAGGGAUGGGAGGCGGCAGGCUGGUCCCCGCAACAGGUGCUCACAACGCGGCCGUUAAGGGCCAGAACUCAUGCUGGGCUCUCAGGAUGGAGGGGUUUUAAUAAAUGGCCCUCGCGCUUGGCAGGCAGUUGGGUACAGGGAGUUAUUAACGCAAUCGCAAACAUAUUCUUUGCUUUUAAAUCACAUUGCUGCUGCCAUGUGGAGAGAUCAUGUGGGGACCACAUACAUACAAAAAGAGAUGGCCAAGGGGCUGAUGAAUGGAAUAUUUAUAAAUGGAUUAUUUCCUGCCAUGUCAAUAAACAAAGGAUGUCAUGCUCAUCAAGGAUUGCAGCCCUGGCUGAAAAGAAUACCUGUCAUCAGACUGCAGCUACUCCCUGUGGUGAGCCCCAAGGAAACUCGGGAUGUGUCUGGAUACUGGCCCAGAUAGCAGAGGUGCAUAACAAAGGAGUGAUUUCGAGCUCCUAUAUAUCCUGGCUCCUCCCCUCGCCUCCUCGGAGCAGUUUCUCAGAGCUAUCUGAGAUGCUGCCUCCUGGGCUG